rnacentral:misc_RNA from 1 species
UUAUUUUUUUAGGAAUGUUGUUUUCAUAAUCCUCUUUUCUUUUUUUUUCCUAAUAUCAUUUUCCAAACCAAUUAUAAGAACUCAGCUCUGCUCCCCUCCGUUCCCUCUUGCUUCAGUCUCCACCUCCCAUCCACCACCUUCUUCUACGGCGUCGUUUCCCUCCCCUUCGCAUUUCCUAUCUCCUCUUUCACGUCUUACCGCUUCCUGAUUUUAUUAGUUUUUUAGUUAAGAGUUUUGUUAAUUGUUCUCGCUAAUGAGAAGACUUCCCUUAGCGAACGUAAAAGUUUUCUGCUUUAAAGACGCAAGAACUGACAAGUUUUAGCAUAGAGUUUCAGCUUUUUUCAUCUCAUAGCAGAGAGAGAGAAAGAGCUGGAGAGUUCUUUUUGUUUUUUGUUUCCUGGGGAGUGUUGACAAAAAACUGCGAUUAAAGCCAUUUUUGUUGGUUUUCACUUCAAACUUCCGUUGAAUUUUGAGUGAUUCCGGAGGUGGGUUUCUCAAUUUUCCCACUAUAAGGUUAGAAAUUUCGAUUUCGCUUCCUUUGGCAAUGCAGUCUCUGAAUUCUGGGGAGAAUAAGGGAUAGUGGUGAACAAGAUGAUGGAAAACAAAAGAAGCCCCUGCUCUGUUGACCAGGCCAGUCUUACUUCUCUUGCAAAUAAACGUCAUAAGGCUGAUCUUUCUAUCUCGACAAAGGAGAGGAAAGAGAAGCUAGGUGA